rfam:Rattus norvegicus chromosome 8, whole genome shotgun sequence.
GGGGAUUUAGCUCAGUGGUAGAGCGUUUGCCUAGCAAGCGCAAGGCCCUGGGUUCGGUCCUCAGCUCCG